AGAACGAACGCUGGCGGCAUGCCUAACACAUGCAAGUCGAACGCUUCCGGGGCUUCGGUCGCGGAGGAGUGGCGCACGGGUGAGUAGCGCGUGGGAACCUGCCCUGUUGUGGGGGAUAACCGAGGGAAACUUCGGCUAAUACCGCAUACGCCCCGGGACUUGGUCUUCGGAUUAGGUCUGGGGGGAAAGAUUGAUCGCAGCAGGAGGGGCCCGCGUCGGAUUAGCUGGUUGGUGGGGUAACGGCUCACCAAGGCGAUGAUCCGUAGCUGGUCUGAGAGGAUGAUCAGCCACACUGGGACUGAGACACGGCCCAGACUCCUACGGGAGGCAGCAGUGGGGAAUAUUGGGCAAUGGGGGCAACCCUGAUCCAGCAAUGCCGCGUGAGUGAUGAAGGCCUUAGGGUUGUAAAGCUCUUUCGCCCGCGACGAUGAUGACGGUAGCGGGAGAAGAAGCCCCGGCUAACUUCGUGCCAGCAGCCGCGGU
rnacentral:rRNA from 1 species